GAAAGGAUCACUCGACGCCGGCAGGGCAAACUGCCGCUUGUCAUUCCAGAAGGGAAGUUAAGGCCGGAGGCACCUCUUCUUGCUGCAAAGUUCGCAACUGAAUGCAACGUCACAGUUAGACACCAUAUGCCCGUGUUUAAGCGCUGGAAGGAUUACAAGGACCCAGAUGGACAUGUCCGAGAUGGGAUCUUCAGGAACUUUGUAGGAAAACUUGGUAACAAGUUUCAGAUGGAUGUUGAUGUUGUGCCAGUUAGGAAGGCUUGUACUGAAAUGCUGAAACAUGCGACUCGCCAACAACGAUACAGGAUCAAGAAAGAUUAUUUUGACCCUCACCCACUCCAUUUGGUGACGAGAACGUCUCCUGUGCCCUCGAUGACCGAUGAGCAGUGGAAUGAGCUAGUGGAAAGCUGGAAGGAUCCCAAAAAGAUGGUAUGUUUCUUGAUGUAUUUGGUGUAA
rnacentral:rRNA from 1 species